rnacentral:rRNA from 1 species
AGAGUUUGAUUCUGGCUCAGAUUGAACGCUGGCGGCAUGGCUAAAGCAUGCAAGUCGAACGAGACCGCAAGGAAAAGUGGCGAAAGGGUCAGUAAUGCGAUCGAACGUGCCCUGAGGUGGAGGAUAGGCAUGGGAAACUGUGCGUAAUACUCCAUGUGCUCUACGGAGGAAAGCCGCAAGGCGCCUUUGGAGCGGCGAUCGUCCUAUCAGCUAGUUGGUGAGGUAACGGCUCACCAAGGCUUCGACGGGUAGCGGGUGUGAGAGCACGACCCGCGACAUCGGGACUGAGACACUGCCCGGACUCCUACGGGAGGCUGCAGCGACGAAUCUUCCGCAAUGGGCGAAAGCCUGACGGAGCAAUGCCGCGUGCAGGAUGAAGCGGCUACGCCGUGUAAACUGCUGUCAGGGGGUAGAAACACUGAUCACCCCCAAAGGAAGAGCCGGCUAACCCUGUGCCAGCAGCCGCGGUAAGACAGGGGGCUCGAGCGUUAAUCGGAAUCAUUGGGCUUAAAGGGUGCGUAGGCGGGUUGCUAAGUGUUCUGUGAAAUCCCCCGGCUCAACCGGGGAAUCGCAGGGCAUACUGGUAGCCUUGAGGCAUGUAGGGGCGGACGGAACUGUAGGUGGAGCGGUGAAAUGCGUAGAUAUCUACAGGAACGCCGAUGGUGAAGACGGUCCGCUGGGCAUGUCCUGACGCUGAGGCACGAAAGCGUGGGGAGCAAACAGGAUUAGAUACCCUGGUAGUCCACGCCCUAAACGAUGUGCACUAGAUCGGUGCGGCUCUGACGCCGUAUCGGUCGAAGUAAAAACGAUAAGUGCACCGCCUGGGGAGUACGGUCGCAAGGCUAAAACUCAAAGAAAUUGACGGGGGCUCACACAAGCGGUGGAGCAUGUUGCUUAAUUCGGGUCAACGCGAAGAACCUUACCUGGGUUUGACAUGGCCGGAUUAGCUCUUGGAAACAGGAGUGACACCUUCGGGUGGAACGGUCACAGGUGCUGCAUGGCUGUCGUCAGCUCGUGCUGUGAAGUGUCGGGUUAAGUCCCUUAACGAGCGCAACCCCUAUCGUUAGUUGCUAACGGGUCAUGCCGAGUACUCUAGCGAGACUGCCGGUGUCAAACCGGAGGAAGGUGGGGAUGACGUCAAGUCCUCAUGGCCCUUACAUCCAGGGAUGCAAACGUGCUACAAUGGUGCGCACAAAGCGAUGCAAGACAGCGAUGUGGAGCAAAUCGCAAAAAACGCACCCCAGUUCGGAUUGCAGGCUGCAACUCGCCUGCAAGAAGUCGGAAUCGCUAGUAAUCGGAGAUCAGCUACGCUCCGGUGAAUAUGUUCCUGAGCCUUGUACACACCGCCCGUCAAGUCAUGGGAGCCGGUAGCGCCCGAAGUCGCCACGAUACUGUGGUGCCCACGGCGAGAUCGGUGACUGGGACUAAGUCGUAACAAGGUA